UACGAAGGGGGCUAGCGUUGCUCGGAAUUACUGGGCGUAAAGCGCACGUAGGCGGCUUCUUAAGUCGGUGGUGAAAUCCUGGAGCUCAACUCCAGAACUGCCUUUGAUACUGGCGACCUUGAGUCCGGGAGAGGUGAGUGGAACUGCGAGUGUAGAGGUGAAAUUCGUAGAUAUUCGCAAGAACACCUGUGGCGAAGGCGACCCCCCUGGUUGGAUACUGACGCUGAGACGCGAAAGCGUGGGGAGCAAACAGG
rnacentral:rRNA from 1 species